AUUUCUUCAGCUGCAUUGUCCUGUCAAUGUCACUGAUGGCGAAGAACCUUCCUUUGGUUUUGGGAUUUAUUUGAGAGCUCUCCCCUCUGGCAUUGUCUGAUCUAAGAAGUUUGUCUCAAAGUACUUCUUCCACUUGUGGUGGGAUUACAGAAUCUUAGUACGCUUGGUCAAGGGCUUGAAACUAGCACAUACCCUGGAGAGGUUAUAUUCUCCAUAGUACUUGCUAUUGCUGGACUUCUACUCUUUGCCCUCCUCAUUGGAAACAUGCAGACUUAUCUUCAAUCGCUUACUGUUCGGUUAGAAGAAAUGCGAG